rnacentral:SRP_RNA from 2 species
GCUGGGCACGGUGGCUCAUGCCUGUAAUCCCAGCACUUUGGGAGGCUGAGGCAGGUGGAUCACCUGAGGUCAGGAGUUCAAGACCAGCCUGGCCAACAUGGUGAAACCCUGUCUCUA